UACGGAGGGUGCAAGCGUUGUCCGGAUUUAUUGGGUUUAAAGGGUGCGUAGGUGGCUUAUUAAGUCAGUGUUUAAAGUCUGCAGCUUAACUGUAGGAAUGGCAUUGAUACUGAUAGGCUUGAGUAAAGUUGAGGUAGGCGGAAUUGAAGGUGUAGCGGUGAAAAUGCAUAGAUAUCUUCAAGAACACCGAUUGCGAAAGGCAGCU
rnacentral:rRNA from 1 species